rnacentral:snoRNA from 1 species
CCUCCUUUACUUGGCAGGGACAGAGUGUGCAGUCCCGCUCCCCAUUAUGUAUGGAGGCAGAGAGAAAGAUCUGGCCCCCUUGGCAUCAUGUCUUUGGUGCCAGCAACUUCGUGUACACUGAUUCUAUCCUCAAGCACCAGGACACCA